CCCUUAGAUGUUCUGGGCCGCACGCGCGCUACACUGACGAAUGCAACGAGCUUAUAACCUUGGCCGAAAGGUCUGGGUAAUCUCCAAAUUUCGUCGUGAUGGGGAUAGAUUAUUGCAAUUAUUAAUCUUCAACGAGGAAUGCCUAGUAAGCGCAAGUCAUCAGCUUGCGUUGAUUACGUCCCUGCCCUUUGUACACACCGCCCGUCGCACCUACCGAUUGAAUGGUCCGGUGAAUAAUUCGGACUGCAGCACUGCUUGGUCUCCAGGCUUUGCAGCGGAAAGUUUAGUGAACCUUAUCACUUAGAGGAAGGAGAAGUCGUAACA
rnacentral:rRNA from 1 species